rnacentral:rRNA from 1 species
GACGUAGGGCGCGAGCGUGUCCGGAUUUAUUGGGCGUAAAGAGCUCGUAGGCGGCUUGUCGCGUCGACUGUGAAAUCCCGCGGCUCAACUGCGGGUCUGCAGUCGAUACGGGCAGGCUAGAGUUCGGUAGGGGAGACUGGAAUUCCUGGUGUAGCGGUGAAAUGCGCAGAUAUCAGGAGGAACACCGGUGGCGAAGGCGGGUCUCUGGGCCGAUACUGACGCUGAGGAGCGAAAGCGUGGGGAGCGAACAGG